rnacentral:rRNA from 1 species
CCUACGGGUGGCAGCAGUGGGGAAUAUUGGGCAAUGGGCGCAAGCCUGACCCAGCAACGCCGCGUGAAGGAAGAAGGCUCUCGGGUUGUUAACCUUCUUUUACAGGGAAGAGCAGAAGACGGUACCUGUCGAAUAAGCUACGGCUAACUACGUGCCAGCAGCCGCGUUCAUACGUAGGUUGCAAGCGUUGUCCGGAUUUACUGGGUGUAAAGGGCGUGUAGCCGGGCUGAUAAGUCAGAUGUGAAAUCCGGGGGCUCAACCCCCGAACUGCAUUUGAAACUGGUAGUCUUGAGUAUCGGAGAGGUAGGCGGAAUUCCUGGUGUAGCGGUGAAAUGCGUAGAUAUUAGGAAGAACACCGGUUGCGAAGGCAGCCUGCUGGACGACAACUGACGGUGAGGCGCGAAAGCGUGGGGAGCAAACAGGAUUAGAUACCCCUGUAGUC